CAGUCGUGAGAGGUUACAACUGAAUCAACAUUUGGAGAAGAUGACUGAACAAAUGGAGAAUGUUUCAGAUGGAGUCUGAGGGAAAUUCCCCCGAGAACAGUACAGUGACCAUGGGGCCUCAGAUGGCCUGGAUUAUAUCCUGAAGCAGUUGGAUUUAAUGUCGGAAUUGAUUGACCAAUUGGAAGUGAAGAUCCAGCUGCUGCAGUGUAACCUGACCGUGUGUUUCACACACCCUGAUAACAUGGCUUGACUCCAGGCUGACGUGGAAACCUCAACAUGGUUAAGCAAUCAACAGACGAUCGAAGACUAAAUACGUAACUCAAGAAAAGUGCUUUUUCACUUAAACAUCACAAUUUAUUAGAAAACAUUCAGUUCAAACACUAAAAGCAGUAGGAAUAUUUCAUUUGGAACAGAUGAAUGUACAUUUUCAGAGUUGAUAAUAGUAAGUAAAAUUGCC